UACGAAGGGGGCUAGCGUUGCUCGGAAUUACUGGGCGUAAAGGGCGCGUAGGCGGUCCUGUAAGUCAGGCGUGAAAUUCCUGGGCUCAACCUGGGGGCUGCGCUUGAGACUGUGGGACUUGAGGACGGAAGAGGCUCGUGGAAUUCCCAGUGUAGAGGUGAAAUUCGUAGAUAUUGGGAAGAACACCGGUGGCGAAGGCGGCGAGCUGGUCCGUUACUGACGCUGAGGCGCGACAGCGUGGGGAGCAAACAGG
rnacentral:rRNA from 1 species